rnacentral:rRNA from 1 species
CAGUAGCCGCGGGAAUACGAAGGGUGCAAGCGUUACUCGGAAUUACUGGGCGUAAAGCGUGCGUAGGUGGUGGUUUAAGUCCGUUGUGAAAGCCCUGGGCUCAACCUGGGAAUUGCAGUGGAUACUGGGUCACUAGAGUGUGGUAGAGGAUAGUGGAAUUUCCGGUGUAGCAGUGAAAUGCGUAGAGAUCGGAAGGAACAUCUGUGGCGAAGGCGACUAUCUGGGCCAACACUGACACUGAGGCUCGAAAGCGUGGGGAGCAAACAGGAUUAGAUACCCGAGUAGUCCCUGUCUCUUAUAC